rnacentral:rRNA from 1 species
UACGGAAGGCAGCAGUGGGGAAUAUUGCACAAUGGGCGCAAGCCUGAUGCAGCCAUGCCGCGUGUAUGAAAAAGGCCUUCGGGUUGUAAAGUACUUUCAGUCGUGAGGAAGGUGUUAAGGUUAAUAACCUUAGCAAUUGACGUUAGCGACAGAAGAAGCACCGGCUAACUCCGUGCCAGCAGCCGCGGUAAUACGGAGGGUGCGAGCGUUAAUCGGAAUUACUGGGCGUAAAGGGCACGCAGGCGGUUAAUUAAGUUGGAUGUGAAAUCCCCGGGCUUAACCUGGGAAUGGCAUUCAAGACUGGUUAGCUAGAGUCUUGUAGAGGGGGUAGAAUUCCAUGUGUAGCGGUGAAAUGCGUAGAGAUGUGGAGGAAUACCGGUGGCGAAGGCGGCCCCUGGCAAAGACUGACGCUCAUGUGCGAAAGCUGGGGAGCAAAC